GUCGCGCAUGCGCACAAGCUCUCCUAGGCCUCCGCAGCAGCAGGCAAGUCGGCCUGAGAAGAAGAGAGGGCAGUGACUCAGGGGCGGCAGGCAGUGCGCGGCUCCCUUCGCCAUGCACCGGCCGAAGAGCAGCCACUCGGCCGCGGCCUCGUCCAGACGGUCCAGAAGGAGCAGCAGCCCGGGCUCCCGCGGCUCCAGGUCGAGGUCGGUGCGGAGCAGGAGCCGGAGCCGGAGGCAGAGGCGCUCUCCUUCUCCUCGGGACCGCCGCCGUUCUCGCCGCUCGCCCUCGCCUCGCCGGGCCAGAAGGAGACACUCCCUGGACCGGCACUCUCGUUCUCCACUUCAACGGUCUCCAAGUUGGCGCUCUAAAUGUUCAGUGGAACACAACUUGAGGAUUACUGUUGGCAAUGACGGUAUUGAAACACCACAGAGAAGGAGAUUAUCUGAUAGACUUGGCUCACCAGUUGAUAAUCUGAGUGAUGUUGACAGGGAUGACUUUGCUUAUGGUCCAGUACUUAGCAGAUACCCUUCACAUCCUCAAAGUCCUGAACAACAUCUCUUUUGUGAGGAAAAUCCUUCUAGUCCUUUUGGUACAAGGCAUGAUAAGGACUAUCGCAGUAGAAAUGUUUUUGUCUACCAGCCAGACUGUACCAUAAACUAUAAUCAUCUACAAGAUCAACGACGAGAAACUGAUUGGGAUGGUGAGAAAAACCUUCAAUGUGACAGAGAUGAUUUCUUAUCAGGAACACAGAAGUACUGUAAACGAAUGUUUAGUAGAAACCCAAGCCCAUCAUAUCUGGAUGAGGAUUUUCAUGCACUUGAAAUCGCUAGGAGAAAAAGAGAAGAGUUGGAGCUAAAGAAAAAAUUGAUUCGAGAACCGCCUGGCAAUAGCUACAUGUUUCCUGAGUCAACUAAAUCAGUACAGCCUUAUGAACCUCUGUACCUUCAUAGACCUGAGGAGGCACCAGCAAUGCCAAGAAAAUCUAUCUUGAAGAAACGUGCGGAGGAUCCUUCUGUGCAGCCUCGCAGCAGUAAUUCUUUGUCCAUGGAUGUGGAUAAUUUCCUUAAACAGUUCAACAAAAAUGUGGUUACAAAGUCAGCUGUUAGUAAGGAAUCUCAAGUCCCUGUGCAUGAUUGGAAACAACACUCUGGUCAACAACAUAGUGCUUCUUUUGAACAGAAUUCAGAUAAUUUUUCAAUGCAGAAAAAGCAUCAUGUGUCAGCGUUGGAGCCUAGUGAUCAGCAGAGUAACUUCUGGCUUCCUCGUGAAAGAGCCAGCCAGGAUGGGAGGGGUUUUUCACGCAUUCCUUGCAUGAUGACAGAUUCUGCAAGUACUCAAGAAGAGAGGAGGUACAGCUUCCCUGGUGAAACUGAAGAUGAAGAGAACUUUCUUUAUGGUAGUGGUGAUGAGAAUGACUUCCGUAUUAACUUUUCCAGUGCUGCAGAGCUAACACUGACAGAUAGGAAAGGAACUGUGAAGCAGAAAGUAAGCUCUUUGUCUCUUCCUAGUUCUUCUGUAAAUGUAGACAUUUCAGAAGAGUCCCAGUCAGAAUAUGAGAAGAUUCAUGACAUGCUCAAAACCAUAGGACUUGACAUUGAAGUGGCUGAAAUUAGUAAGCUCGCUGCCCGUACACAGGAACGACUCCAUGGGAAAAAAAGGUCUCGUUCUCCUGAUCGCCCUUUGGUGGUUUCUCAUAAAUCAGGAUCUCAGGAGAGGCAUCGAAGCAGAAGUGACACUCAUUCUCCUGAGUCAAGCCGAAAAUACUCUCUCUCCCCUCCUAGUUCCUUCCCGCCAUCUAAAGAUAUGUCGUCUGUUUCAAUAUCUGAUUGCAAUAAUAGCAAAACUGUAGGUCAAGAUAGUCCUCUUGGCACAGUGGAACAGGUCAUUCCCUCAGCGCCUAUAAUCCCAUCAGCUCCACCUUGCCUUCCUAAUUUGUUUCCUUCUCCUGCCUCACUUGCCUGGUACAAUAUUCCACACUUCCCACCAUUCACUGCAACUCAGUUACCUCAAAACUAUCCAUCUCUGACAAUGCCCUCUCCUGGCUGUUUUGCAUAUGGACAGCAUAUGACAUAUGCAGCUUCCAGUUGGCCCUUGUAUACUCAGCAGAUUGUUCCUGCACUUUCAGGCAUACAUAAAUUUCUUACACCAACAAUGCCAGUAGAUUUUUCACGACCCAACCUCAGUGUUACAGGCAAAGCACCUCCAAAUAUCAAGAGAGAUGAAUCUGUUUUUGUGCAAAUCCCUACCUGUGCUCAAGACUCCAAAUUGCUCCCUCAGUUGUCUCUGGCUGGUCUCAAAGGUGCUAAAGAAAGAGUAUCUGAUAAAAAAAACCGGGCUUUUCAGCGGCAAAAGGUCACAAUGGAAAGAGAAAAAUUGAAGUGUGAACAAGAAGCUCGGCAAAAGCAACUGUAUUAUCUAAAAAUUGAGUUAAACAGGCUUUCAAGAGUGCAAGAGGAAAUGCUUCAGAAGAAAUGUAAAGAGAAAGACCCCUUGCUGUUGGAAGUGAGCAAGCUGCAAGAGAGCAUUGCAAAGGAGAUUGCUGAGUUGGAGAUAAAGGCCAGUGUUGCAGAGAAGAAAAAAUCUGAGCUUGACACAGUAGCUCAGAUCUUGGGGAUCAACAUUUUUGAGAAAUCCCAGAAACUAUCUUCAGACAAUAAGGAGUCCUCAGAUAAGAGUAUGUCAGUAGAUGCAAAAAAUGAGAGAACACUCAUCUCAAUCAAGUCAUAAGAAGACAAUUGUACACCCAGAGAAGGGACAACAUACAGCAGAAGGAAAGACUUUAAAAGUCUGUGCAGCUCACUUGAUCUGAUUCCAGGACACCUUUUAGCAUCUGUGAUUUGUCCCCAGAGAUGUUAAAGAAGAGAUGCUUCUUCAAAUCUUUUGCGACUCUUUUGCAUUCUGCUCCAAAUUAAUUGUUAUAUGUAAGAAUAUUACCAUGAUCGUAUUGGAUAGACUGCAAAUGAUAAGUAUCUGUGAAUUCCUGGACAUCAGAAAACCCAAGGGUCUGGAGAAAGAGAUCCAUGAAGAAGAUUUAUCCAUCACUCAAAAUGAUAAUGGAUUUAUGAGACUGAUGCUGGUAGCUCAUGAAAAAAAAAAAAGAAAGAUAAGGUUAAGCACAGCUGUCCUAAUCUCACAUAGGUAAAUAUUACACCUCAUCUACUGGAGAAGUUCCAUCUUUUUCUCUUACCUCUUCUUUGCUUUGGAAUCAUCAAUUGACAAAACCAUCCCUAUGUCAUCUUGAAGCCUCCCCUCUUGCUUUUCUUGCUGUUAAAUGUGACUGCCAUAUGACUUUUGGUAAGUUCAGUGUACAUCCAUUAAUCUUCAUUAGAGAGCAGGGCAUGCUCAUAGUUGUCUUAGUUUAUUAUGUAGUGUAUUAACGGUUAUUUUCAUAUGAACAAAUGAUUGUUUACUUUCUCUUACUCAUAAUUUUAUACUGAUCCUUUCAUAUCAUUGGGCAUCUCCACAGUUUUCAUUACUACUUUUAUCAGUAAUUGUGUCAUUUGCACAUACUUCCAGAGGAGUUAAGAUUAUCCCAAGGUGAUUUGGAACCUAGAUUAUGUCUGAGUCCCACUCCUUUUAGUGGAGAACUAUUUGUUUGAUUGUUUAUUAAAGUAUUUCAUGUUAUUUUUAGGUUAUAUAAUUUCUCAGGAUACAACGUUACAACUGAUACCUGGAAAUGGGCAUUUUACCUAUAACAGUAGCAUAAAGAUGUUAAGCUUUUGAAAUUCCCUCAUUUUGGACAGACAUGGCACAUAGGGGAAAGAGAUAAAAAGAGAAAGCAGACCCAAUGUGAGACAACAGUAUAAAACGCCAACACAGUAUAGGUACCGUAGUCAUGUUUGAUAUUAGAGGUCCAUAUUCCAUGGCUAAAAGAGGAAAACAAUCUUAAAUAUAUAAAGCACAACCUACCAUUCUAUGUCUACAGGAAACCCACAGAAAAGGAACAGACUAAGUAUUACCCCUGAAUUUGGUAGUCAGUUUAUGGUUGGAGGAUCUGGCAAAGCCAACAGUGUUGCUAUACACUUUUACAGAACUUGUCUUUUUAAUCUGGACGAAAUAAGACAAGACUCAACAGAUAGAUAUUUAGUACUCAUAGGGGAUUUGAUGAGUAAACCUUUUGUACACCAAAUGUUGACCAACAAACAUUUAUGAACUCCUUUUUGCAGAUUUUGACAUUUUACACUAUGUUCUGGAUAGAUCUUACUCCUCCAAAAACUAUCUCCAAAACUACUCUGUUGGAAGCAAUAAAUAAUGCAGGUUUAUUAGAUCCUUGGAGAGUUCUACAUCUAAAUGAAAGAGACUACACCAUCUUUUGUGCCACACAUAAAUCAUACUCCCACAUAGUCCAAUUCUAUAUUUUUAAAUUGCUAGUAGAAAAAGUCCUCGAUACUUCAAUUGAAUCUGUCAUCUAUUCCAACCACUAACAUUAGACUGGAAACUAAGGAUUGAAAUGCAUAUCCUGAAAAUGGCUCUUUUACAUGAGCCAUUUUUAAAAAUUUAUUAAAAUACCAUAGAACAAUCCUGCUUAGAAAACAAAACUGCCGCCACUUCUGUGGGAUAUGUUGAAAUCUGUUCUCAGGGGACUUUUUAUUCCAGAGGAAUUAAGAUGUAAAACCAUAAGGAAGCAGGUAGAUCAGCUUUACUAAAAUAAGUAACAUAAUUAACAUAUUCUUAUAAGAAAAGCCAGAACUCAGCAACACUGAACUCUGCUUCAAAAGAAAGGAGUGUUCGAAGAAUUAGACCUAAGCAAAAUACAAACUUCCUUACAGUAUAAUAAUGCAUAUUUAAAAAAUAGCAAAAUCUCUAAACUACUUGCCAGAAUAGUAAAGAAAAAAAAAACAGGGAGCAUUACAUCUCUCAAAUACCCAUAGGAUACACUGAAAACCUCCCCUCAUGAAAGCAUGAAUUCUGUGAUUUUUAUUUUAAAUUGUAUCCUCAGAGGCAUCACCUCCUACAAGUGUUAAUGAAUUCAUACAUUCAUUAAAUAUAAAAUUCUCAUAAGUCUCUAGUGAAUCAACCUGUCACUGAAAAUGAAAUCAAGCAAGUAAUUCAAAAAUGAAAAUCAGGAAAAUCUCCUGGACCAGAUGUAAACUUGGUUAUAACAAAUUGGGUCCUCACUUAGCUGACCUAUUUAAUGAAUUUACAAUCCAAGGUAUCUGCCCAAAUACUUGGUACAGAUCAAGGAUUAUUCCAGUUCAAAAAGUGUUCAGUGUUUAGACCAAUUGCAUUUAUAAAUCAAGAUCCAAAAGUUCUAAACCCAAUAGCUCUUUUAUCCCUGGAUACAUUGAAAGAUUUUGACAGAUGGCUUGGGGGUAUCUCUUUGAUGUUUUAAGAGCAAUUAGUUUCGUGGAGAAAUGUGCAAAAGUCCUCAAGACUUUAUGUAAACACUUAGAAGCCACUAUUUGCAUGAACGGACUAGACUUGCCAGCCAUAACGCUUCAGCGGGGAACUAAACAGGGAUGUCCCAUGUCACCAUUAUUAUUUGCCUUAGUAAUUGCACUUUUGGCCAGUUUGAUAAGGGAUAACCUCAACAUAAUUGGCCCUAUUGUUGGUGGGCAGAGCCAGAACAUCAAUCUAUACUUGGAUGAUGGUUUGUUUGUUUGUUUUUUAAAAAAACAAACAACCCUUCUCUGCUCUUAAAUAAACUCUAGGUGCUUUUGAUACUUAUGCAGAUUUGAGAAUUAGUUAUUUAAAAUCCAAAUUGAUGUGUUUUAAUAUUUUGCCAGAUCAAGAACUGGCAAAAACAACUUUUAACUAAUUUUCAGUUACAACCCUCUGGUUUUGUAUACCUUGGGAAUUACAAUUACAAAAGACUUAAAAUCUAUUCAU